rnacentral:rRNA from 1 species
AUUGAACGCUGGCGGCAUGCCUUACACAUGCAAGUCGAACGGCAGCACGGACUUCGGUCUGGUGGCGAGUGGCGAACGGGUGAGUAAUACAUCGGAACGUACCCAGUAAUGGGGGAUAACUAUCCGAAAGGAUAGCUAAUACCGCAUACGCCCUACGGGGGAAAGAGGGGGAUCGCAAGACCUCUUGUUAUUGGAGCGGCCGAUGGCUGAUUAGCUAGUUGGUGAGGUAAAGGCUCACCAAGGCGACGACCAGUAGCGGGUCUUAGAGGACGGUCCGCCAAACUGGAACUGAGACACGGUCCAGACUCCUACGGGAGGCAGCAGUGGGGAAUCUUGGACAAUGGGCGCAAGCCUGAUCCAGCAAUGCCGCGUGCGUGAAGAAGGCCUUCGGGUUGUAAAGCGCUUUUGUCAGGGAGCAAAUCCUUGUGGCUAAUACCCACCGGGGAUGAGAGUACCUGAAGAAUAAGGACCGGCUAACUACGUGCCAGCAGCCGCCGUAAAAC